rnacentral:misc_RNA from 1 species
UCCGGUUUGUCACCGGCAGUCUCUGCAGAGUCCUCGGCUUUACCCGUUAGCAACAGCAGAUAAGGGUUGCGCUCGUUGCGGGACUUAACCCAACAUCUCGCGACACGAGCUGACGACAGCCAUGCAGCACCUGUGCUAGCCCCAAAAGGACACGGGCUUUCACCCGCUUUAACUAGCAUGUCAAGCCCAGGUAAGGUUCUUCGCGUUGCAUCGAAUUAAGCCACAUGCUCCGCCGCUUGUGCGGGCCCCCGUCAAUUCCUUUGAGUUUCAGCCUUGCGGCCGUACUCCCCAGGCGGGGUGCUUAAUGCGUUAACUUCGGCACAGAGCGGGUCAAACGCCGCCCCACACCUAGCACCCAACGUUUACGGCUAGGACUAC